GAUGAAGAACGUAGUGAAAUGCGAUAAGUAGUGUGAAUUGCAGAAUUCCGUGAAUCAUCGAAUCUUUGAACGCACAUUGCGCCUCCUGGUAAUCCGUGAGGCAUGCCUGUCCGAGCGUCAGUAAAAAGCAACUCGGCCGCGGCUGGCGGUUGGUGAUGGAGGAAGAGCACGUCUCGUUGUCGGUCUCCCCUCCCAAAAUCAACGGCGGAAUGUCACUGGCACUCGGUGUUGUAGUAUUAUUCGCCGAUCACCCAUUGUUGUUCCUGCCGCCCAAACCCCCACAAUUCUCUUGAUUGACCUCGGAUCAGGUAGGGAUACCCGCUGAACUUAAGCAUAUCAAUAAGCGGAGGA
rnacentral:misc_RNA from 1 species